rnacentral:rRNA from 1 species
UACGGAGGAUCCAAGCGUUAUCCGGAAUCAUUGGGUUUAAAGGGUCCGUAGGCGGUCUUAUAAGUCAGUGGUGAAAUCUCCCCGCUCAACGGGGAAACGGCCAUUGAUACUGUAAGACUUGAAUUAUUAGGAAGUAACUAGAAUAUGUAGUGUAGCGGUGAGAUGCUUAGGGAUUACAUGGAAUACCAAUUGCGAAGGCAGGUUACUACUAAUGGAUUGACGCUGAUGGACGAAAGCGUGGGUAGCGAACAGG